GAGUAACACGUGGGUAACCUGCCUGUAAGACUGGGAUAACUCCGGGAAACCGGGGCUAAUACCGGAUGCUUGUUUGAACCGCAUGGUUCAAACAUAAAAGGUGGCUUCGGCUACCACUUACAGAUGGACCCGCGGCGCAUUAGCUAGUUGGUGAGGUAACGGCUCACCAAGGCAACGAUGCGUAGCCGACCUGAGAGGGUGAUCGGCCACACUGGGACUGAGACACGGCCCAGACUCCUACGGGAGGCAGCAGUAGGGAAUCUUCCGCAAUGGACGAAAGUCUGACGGAGCAACGCCGCGUGAGUGAUGAAGGUUUUCGGAUCGUAAAGCUCUGUUGUUAGGGAAGAACAAGUACCGUUCGAAUAGGGCGGUACCUUGACGGUACCUAACCAGAAAGCCACGGCUAACUACGUGCCAGCAGCCGCGGUAAUACGUAGGUGGCAAGCGUUGUCCGGAAUUAUUGGGC
rnacentral:rRNA from 1 species